UACGUAGGGACCGAGCGUUGUCCGGAAUCAUUGGGCGUAAAGAGCGUGUAGGCGGCCACUUAAGUCUUGCGUGAAAUCUUGCGGCUCAACCGCAAGCGGUCGUGGGAAACUGGGUGGCUAGAGUGCGGGAGAGGAGAGUGGAAUUCCGGGUGUAGCGGUGGAAUGCGUAGAGAUCCGGAAGAACACCGGUGGCGAAGGCGGUCUGACUGGGGGUCGAACUGACGCUGAGGCGCGACAGCGUGGGGAGCAAACAGG
rnacentral:rRNA from 1 species